UAGUCCACGCCGUAAACGAUGAUCACUCGCUGUAGGCGAUACACAGUCUGUGGCUAAGCGAAAGUUUUAAGUGAUCCACCUGGGGAGUACGAUCGCAAGAUUGAAACUCAAAGGAAUUGACGGGGGCCCGCACAAGCGGAGGAACAUGUGGUUUAAUUCGAUGAUACGCGAGGAACCUUACCUGGACUUAAAUGUAGAUUGCAUAGCUUAGAGAUAGGCUUUUCUUCGGACUAUUUACAAGGUGCUGCAUGGUUGUCGUCAGCUCGUGCCGUGAGGUGUCGGGUUAAGUCCCAUAACGAGCGCAACCCCUAUCUUUAGUUGCCAGCACGUAAUGGUGGGGACUCUAGAGAGACUGCCGGCGUAAGCCGCGAGGAAGGUGGGGACGACGUCAAAUCAUCAUGGCCUUUAUGCCUAGGGCGACACACGUGCUACAAUGGCGCGCACAGGGGGUAGCCAGACCGCGAGGUUGAGCCAAUCCCAGAAAGCGCGUCCCAGUUCGGAUUGG
rnacentral:rRNA from 1 species